rnacentral:tRNA from 1 species
CUUUUAAAGGAUCAAAGUUAAUCC